rnacentral:rRNA from 1 species
CAGCAGCCGCCGCGGGAAUACGUAGGGUGCAAGCGUUAAUAGGAACUACUGGGCGUAAAGCGUGCGCAGGCGGUUAUGUAAGACAGUUGUGAAAUCCCCGGGCUCAACCUGGGAACUGCAUCUGUGACUGCAUAGCUAGAGUACGGUAGAGGGGGAUGGAAUUCCGCGUGUAGCAGUGAAAUGCGUAGAUAUGCGGAGGAACACCGAUGGCGAAGGCAAUCCCCUGGACCUGUACUGACGCUCAUGCACGAAAGCGUGGGGAGCAAACAGGAUUAGAUACCCCCGUAGUCCCUGUCUCUUAUAC